rnacentral:rRNA from 1 species
CGAAUGCUGACAUAAGUAACGAUAAAGCGGGUGAAAAGCCCGCUCGCCGGAAGACCAAGGGUUCCUGUCCAACGUUAAUCGGGGCAGGGUGAGUCGACCCCUAAGGCGAGGCCGAAAGGCGUAGUCGAUGGGAAACAGGUUAAUAUUCCUGUACUUGGUGUUACUGCGAAGGGGGGACGGAGAAGGCUAUGUUGGCCGGGCGACGGUUGUCCCGGUUUAAGCGUGUAGGCUGGUUUUCCAGGCAAAUCCGGAAAAUCAAGGCUGAGGCGUGAUGACGAGGCACUACGGUGCUGAAGCAACAAAUGCCCUGCUUCCAGGAAAAGCCUCUAAGCAUCAGGUAACAUUAAAUCGUACCCCAAACCGACACAGGUGGUCAGGUAGAGAAUACCAAGGCGCUUGAGAGAACUCGGGUGAAGGAACUAGGCAAAAUGGUGCCGUAACUUCGGGAGAAGGCACGCUGAUAUGUAGGUGAAGUCCCUCGCGGAUGGAGCUGAAAUCAGUCGAAGAUACCAGCUGGCUGCAACUGUUUAUUAAAAACACAGCACUGUGCAAACACGAAAGUGGACGUAUACGGUGUGACGCCUGCCCGGUGCCGGAAGGUUAAUUGAUGGGGUUAGCGGUAACGCGAAGCUCUUGAUCGAAGCCCCGGUAAACGGCGGCCGUAACUAUAACGGUCCUAAGGUAGCGAAAUUCCUUGUCGGGUAAGUUCCGACCUGCACGAAUGGCGUAAUGAUGGCCAGGCUGUCUCCACCCGAGACUCAGUGAAAUUGAACUCGCUGUGAAGAUGCAGUGUACCCGCGGCAAGACGGAAAGACCCCGUGAACCUUUACUAUAGCUUGACACUGAACAUUGAGCCUUGAUGUGUAGGAUAGGUGGGAGGCUUUGAAGUGUGGACGCCAGUCUGCAUGGAGCCGACCUUGAAAUACCACCCUUUAAUGUUUGAUGUUCUAACGUUGACCCGUGAUCCGGGUUGCGGACAGUGUCUGGUGGGUAGUUUGACUGGGGCGGUCUCCUCCUAAAGAGUAACGGAGGAGCACGAAGGUUGGCUAAUCCUGGUCGGACAUCAGGAGGUUAGUGCAAUGGCAUAAGCCAGCUUGACUGCGAGCGUGACGGCGCGAGCAGGUGCGAAAGCAGGUCAUAGUGAUCCGGUGGUUCUGAAUGGAAGGGCCAUCGCUCAACGGAUAAAAGGUACUCCGGGGAUAACAGGCUGAUACCGCCCAAGAGUUCAUAUCGACGGCGGUGUUUGGCACCUCGAUGUCGGCUCAUCACAUCCUGGGGCUGAAGUAGGUCCCAAGGGUAUGGCUGUUCGCCAUUUAAAGUGGUACGCGAGCUGGGUUUAGAACGUCGUGAGACAGUUCGGUCCCUAUCUGCCGUGGGCGCUGGAGAACUGAGGGGGGCUGCUCCUAGUACGAGAGGACCGGAGUGGACGCAUCACUGGUGUUCGGGUUGUCAUGCCAAUGGCACUGCCCGGUAGCUAAAUGCGGAAGAGAUAAGUGCUGAAAGCAUCUAAGCACGAAACUUGCC